GCAUCAUUGGUCUAGUGGUAGAAUACAACGUUGCCAUCGUUGUGAUCCGAGUUCGAUUCUCGGAUGAUGCA
rfam:Perkinsus marinus ATCC 50983 gcontig_1104296787640, whole genome shotgun sequence.